AGUCGAACGAACUCUGGUAUUGAUUGGUGCUUGCAUCAUGAUUUACAUUUGAGUGAGUGGCGAACUGGUGAGUAACACGUGGGAAACCUGCCCAGAAGCGGGGGAUAACACCUGGAAACAGAUGCUAAUACCGCAUAACAACUUGGACCGCAUGGUCCGAGCUUGAAAGAUGGCUUCGGCUAUCACUUUUGGAUGGUCCCGCGGCGUAUUAGCUAGAUGGUGGGGUAACGGCUCACCAUGGCAAUGAUACGUAGCCGACCUGAGAGGGUAAUCGGCCACAUUGGGACUGAGACACGGCCCAAACUCCUACGGGAGGCAGCAGUAGGGAAUCUUCCACAAUGGACGAAAGUCUGAUGGAGCAACGCCGCGUGAGUGAAGAAGGGUUUCGGCUCGUAAAACUCUGUUGUUAAAGAAGAACAUA
rnacentral:rRNA from 2 species